AACGAACGCUGGCGGCAGGCUUAACACAUGCAAGUCGAACGCCCCGCAAGGGGAGUGGCAGACGGGUGAGUAACGCGUGGGAAUCUACCCAAUUCUUCGGAACAACACAUGGAAACGUGUGCUAAUACCGGGUGAGCCCUUCGGGGGAAAGAUUUAUCGGAAUUGGAUGAGCCCGCGUUGGAUUAGCUAGUUGGUGGGGUAAAGGCCUACCAAGGCGACGAUCCAUAGCUGGUCUGAGAGGAUGAUCAGCCACACUGGGACUGAGACACGGCCCAGACUCCUACGGGAGGCAGCAGUGGGGAAUAUUGGACAAUGGGCGCAAGCCUGAUCCAGCCAUGCCGCGUGAGUGAUGAAGGUCUUAGGAUUGUAAAGCUCUUUCACCGGUGAAGAUAAUGACGGUAACCGGAGAAGAAGCCCCGGCUAACUUCGUGCCAGCAGCCGCGGUAAUACGAAGGGGGCUAGCGUUGUUCGGAUUUACUGGGCGUAAAGCGCACGUAGGCGGACUUUUAAGUCAGGGGUGAAAUCCCGGGGCUCAACCCCGGAACUGCCUUUGAUACUGGGAGUCUUGAGUUCGAGAGAGGUGAGUGGAAUUGCGAGU
rnacentral:rRNA from 1 species